AGUUUGAUCCUGGCUCAGGACGAACGCUGGCGGCGUGCUUAACACAUGCAAGUCGAACGAUGAACCAGGAGCUUGCUCUUGGGGAUUAGUGGCGAACGGGUGAGUAACACGUGAGUAACCUGCCCUUGACUCUGGGAUAAGCGUUGGAAACGACGUCUAAUACCGGAUACGAGCUUCCACCGCAUGGUGAGUUGCUGGAAAGAAUUUUGGUCAAGGAUGGACUCGCGGCCUAUCAGCUUGUUGGUGAGGUAACGGCUCACCAAGGCGACGACGGGUAGCCGGCCUGAGAGGGUGACCGGCCACACUGGGACUGAGACACGGCCCAGACUCCUACGGGAGGCAGCAGUGGGGAAUAUUGCACAAUGGGCGAAAGCCUGAUGCAGCAACGCCGCGUGAGAGACGACGGCCUUCGGGUUGUAAACCUCUUUUAGCAGGGAAGAAGCGAAAGUGACGGUACCUGCAGAAAAAGCACCGGCUAACUACGUGCCAGCAGCCGCGGUAA
rnacentral:rRNA from 1 species